UACGAAGGGGGCAAGCGUUGUUCGGAAUUACUGGGCGUAAAGGGCGCGUAGGCGGCUUAUCAAGUCAGGCGUGAAAUUCCCGGGCUCAACCUGGGGGCUGCGCUUGAUACUGAUGAGCUUGAAUGCGGGAGAGGAUAGUGUAAUUCCCAGUGUAGAGGUGAAAUUCGUAGAUAUUGGGAAGAACACCGGUGGCGAAGGCGGCUAUCUGGCCCGUAAUUGACGCUGAGGCGCGAAAGCGUGGGGAGCAAACAGG
rnacentral:rRNA from 1 species